rnacentral:rRNA from 1 species
AUUGAACGCUGGCGGCAGGCCUAACACAUGCAAGUCGAGCGGAUGAGAGGAGCUUGCUCCUCGCUUCAGCGGCGGACGGGUGAGUAAUGCCUAGGAAUCUGCCUAGUAGCGGGGGACAACGUUUCGAAAGGAACGCUAAUACCGCAUACGUCCUACGGGAGAAAGUGGGGGAUAUUCGGACUCCACGCUAUUAGAUGAGCCUAGGUCGGAUUAGCUAGUUGGUAGGGUAACGGCCAACCAAGGCGACGAUCCGUAACUGGUCUGAGAGGACGACCAGCCACACUGGGACUGAGACACGGCCCAGACUCCUACGGGAGGCAGCAGUGGGGAAGAUUGGACAAUGGGGGAAACCCUGAUCCAGCGACGCCGCGUGGGUGAAGAAGGCCUGCGGGUUGUAAAGCCCUUUCGGUAGGGACGAAAGCUCUCGACCUAACACGUCGGGAGGUUGACUUAACCUACAAAAGAAGCACCGGCUAACUCUGUGCCAGCCGCCGCGGUAA